GAUGAACGCUGGCGGCGUGCCUAAUACAUGCAAGUCGAGCGAAUGGAUUAAGAGCUUGCUCUUAUGAAGUUAGCGGCGGACGGGUGAGUAACACGUGGGUAACCUGCCCAUAAGACUGGGAUAACUCCGGGAAACCGGGGCUAAUACCGGAUAACAUUUUGAACCGCAUGGUUCGAAAUUGAAAGGCGGCUUCGGCUGUCACUUAUGGAUGGACCCGCGUCGCAUUAGCUAGUUGGUGAGGUAACGGCUCACCAAGGCAACGAUGCGUAGCCGACCUGAGAGGGUGAUCGGACACACUGGGACUGAGACACGGCCCAGACUCCUAAGGGAGGCAGCAGUAGGGAAUCUUCCGCAAUGGACGAAAGUCUGACGGAGCAACGCCGCGUGAGUGAUGAGGGCUUUCGGGUCGUAAAACUCUGUUGUUAGGGAAGAACAAGUGCUAGUUGAAUAAGCUGGCACCUUGACGGUACCUAACCAGAGAGCCACGGCUAACUACGUGCCAGCAGCCGCCGCAG
rnacentral:rRNA from 1 species